rnacentral:tRNA from 1 species
CAGGAUAAAGUUUUAAAAACAUUAAUCUUGGAUAUUAAAGUGUCUCAUUGAGAUAUCCUGA